GUCCCCCCCUACCCUGCGACCAGAGCAAGCCCUUGUGGGUACUUCUGUCUACAGCCGGGCUCGGCGUUGCAUUAAAAUCCCCUCCUACAAUAAUCAUGCCCCUCGGUAACUUGCGGAGCUUAUCCUUUAAGGUUGCCCAGAAGUCCGGGUCUGGACAAUUGGGAGCAUACACGUUCACCAAGUGGAGGGUAUGGGAUUAGAGCACUCCUGAUACAAUAAUGUAGCGUCCCUCUCCGUCCACCUCCGUCCCAGUAAUCUGCAGUGGGCAGCUGCUGCGCACCAGGAUAGCCACCCCGUUGCGCUUACAGUGGGCUCUGGCCUCAUGAGAGACCGGGUAGAUAUGGUCCCUAAGGGAGAACCGUCCCAGUUUGGGUAGAUGGGUCUCCUGAACAAAGGCGAUAUCUGCUUUAGUUCUUUUCAGCUCUCGAAAGAGCAGGCGCCGUUUGGUCGGGGCAUUAAGGCCCCUCACAUUCAGCG